rnacentral:tRNA from 1 species
GGGUAGAUGAUCGAGUGGUUUAAGGUGUUAGUUUUGAAAACUAAUGUAUUUAACAGUACCGUGGGUUCGAAUCCUACUCUAUCCG